AGAUGUAGUUUUGAGCUUUCUCUUCUAACUCUCAAGAAAGCAAAUAACCACUUUGUUUGUUAAAAAUCGACAAAACAAUUAAUCGAUGAUUAAAACUGAUGCUUUAAAUUUUUUUAUUAGAUUUCUUGUUAUUAGAGACACCAGAAGAGGACAGGUCCACAAUGAGCAAAAUCAUUUUAAUCAACUUUUUUUUUUCUUACAAAAACAUUAUCAGGGAGUUCAAAAUGAAGCGUUUUUAACUGGGGAACAAACAGUGGCAGUGACGACUUCAAAGAUAUUUUACAAAUAUCAGAGAAACGACGACUAGAGUGCCAGAGUGCAGAGUUCCCUCCCUGUUGCAACAGAAGCCAAACAUACAGCUGCAGAUGCACGGCGCUCGUAUGAAGAUUUAUUACGACGACGCACUCUGAACUUUAAGUGUUAGAGGAGUUGUCUGUUUGCACAGAUUUCUGGCCAUGCAUCGGCCUAACCACAUCUUUAACCCGUCAGUAACAUUUGUGCUGAAUUGAAGUGGAACACUAAAGCACUGGAGGCUCAGAGU